UCACUUUGGCAGCACAUAUACUAAAACUGGAACAAUACAGAGAGGAUAAGAAUGGUCUCUGCACAAGGAUGACACACAAAUUCAUGAAGAAUUACAAAAAAAA